UACGUAGGAGGCGAGCGUUGUCCGGAUUUACUGGGUGUAAAGGGUCCGCAGGCGGAUAAGUAAGUCGGGGGUGAAAUCCUUUGGCUUAACUGAAGAACUGCCUCCGAUACUACUUAUCUUGAGUACAGAAGAGGGUGACGGAAUUCCAGGUGUAGCGGUGAAAUGCGUAGAUAUCUGGAAGAACACCGGUUGCGAAGGCUGUUGCCUGGUCUGUUACUGACGCUCAUGGACGAAAGCGUGGGGAUCAAACAGG
rnacentral:rRNA from 1 species